rnacentral:lncRNA from 1 species
CCCACUUGUGCACGCUCUCUCCCUCAAAUACAUAAAUAAAUCUAAAAAAAAAAUGUCUAUAUAUUUUUGGGAGUAAUCAGGAAACAAAACUGCAGGAAGAACACAAGAAGAUCAUAUUACCUUGGAGACUGUGUUGCAGAAUUAAGCUUUGAAAUGCACAUGAUUUUGUGUUUUUCCCUUUGAUUCAGGCUCUGAUGUAAGACUUCCAUAUUUUACAGAGUAUCCCCAUGUCCUUUCUCGUGGCAACUCAAACAGGCCUUCAGAUACAGAUGUGACACGUGGGCAUCAAGCUAAAGCCAUAACUGUCUGAAAGCCACCAGGCUGAUGAUGGACAGGAAGGUGCUCUGAGGGUCUGCUCCCAGCUCUGCCCGUGCUGCUGAAGCCUGAGGCCCUUCUCCAGGUGCCCCGUCUGCUUCUGGAUGGCAGCUUCGCCAUGGCCUCACCCCACUCUGCCACUUCACCACCUGGGACCUGCAGACACAUUUGCAUCACAAAACCUUGAGUCACGUGAAUGUGGCAGGAACUGGAAGCGUGUGGGGUCACGGUCUGCAGCACUGCAGUCAGUCACCCCGCUGCUCCCCUUGCCGUCGGGACAGUGCUGCUGAGACAAGAGAGUGCUCCUCUCAGGAGGGCUUGUUUCUCAUGACCUCAUUGUGAUGACAAAAGGCAGAUUCUGAGCCACUUCCUUCUCCAGUAAGUAAACCGACCGCCUUCAGGUUUCUGUGUGAGCAGGUAGCAGCAGGAGCGCUGCUGGCUCCUAGUAAUAGUGGGGGGGGCGUGUGUGUGUGGAUUUCUCAGUCAAAUUUCAGGUUGAGGUAGGACGCCACAGAAAUUAACCAGAUCCUCCUGUGAUAGAAAACGGUGCUUUAACAAAACAUUUUCUAAAACGGGUGAUAAAUUGGGUCUACCUCGUCACAAGGAACUGAAAUUGCUUUAUAAAUUCUCUGUGGCAUUGCUGGCAGGGAGUAUAUAUUCGCAGAGGAUAGAGACAGCCAGGCUGUGAGUUGAGAGGAAGAAGGCCGGCAGCCCCCUGCACUGAGCUUCUGGGUCGUCUCCUGAUCACCGGGCUGCUUGUUUAAAACAGGCUGUCUGUUAUGAGGGAAUUCCACGAGGGAAAGUGUGUUUGCAGGGACUCUCAUUCCAUUGACAGAAUAAUAAAAUAUGCAAAUGUAGUUCCCCA